CGGGACGGGUGAGUAACACGUAGAGAACCUACCUUACACAGGGGGACAACGGCUGGAAACGGCUGCUAAUACCGCAUAAGCACCCAGUUUCGCAUGAAACAGAGUGAAAAGAGUAAAUCGGUGUAAGAUGGCUCUGCGUCUGAUUAGCUAGUUGGUGGGGUAAAGGCUCACCAAGGCGACGAUCAGUAGCCGGCCUGAGAGGGCGACCGGCCACAUUGGGACUGAGACACGGCCCAGACUCCUACGGGAGGCAGCAG
rnacentral:rRNA from 1 species